AUCUACAACCAUAUCACCCUGAGCAUACCUAGUCUUGGAAGCUAAGCAGGGUUGGGCCUGACUAGUUACUUGAAUAGGAGAUAUGACAGGGAGUGCUGGAUGUGGCAUCUA
ensembl:rRNA 5S_rRNA 5S ribosomal RNA